AUCAAAACUAAAAGCUUACGGUGCAUUUUGCCAAUAUCCUGCUUCUCUGUUCGGGGCGACCUAACAGAUAUUGACUUUGGUGUUAUCUUCCAUUAAAAUUUUAGAAAUUAGCUUAUUUUAAUCCGUUAGCCUAAUUAUGAUCAAAUGACGGCAUUUUGAAGACAAGUUAAAUUAAAUAAUCUUUAGAGAAGACUAUGAAUUGAUUUGCCUCUGUACUGUUAAGAUUUUAGAGAUAUGUUCAGACCUGACUGAAUAUUGCAAGACCAUUCUGAGAGGACUUUUGUCAAAGACCUCCAUCGUUGAUUCAUGAUAUCAUUUGGUUUGCCUAGUGUUUAGUAUCAUAGUAAUAAAAUAGAGAGACAAUAGUGACAAUGGACCACAUUGUUAUGUAAAAGAAUAGGGCUGUUUUCCUUUGAAAAAAGAACGCCCUUGCUGAAUUGAGAAACUUUAAUAAUAGCAUGGUACUAAUGUUCACUGCAGAAAUUCUAGAACAACUGAAAAAACACCAAGGUAGAUUUUUAUGAACUUGCAGGUGAUAGAGUUGUUCCUUGGUUCUGGCACUAAUAACUCAGGCAUUUUGGAAGUGAAUGCCAAAAACAACAUUGGCCCUACUGCCCAGGCCCUUGAUAUGGUAUUAGUUUUCCC
rnacentral:misc_RNA from 1 species